rnacentral:rRNA from 1 species
GAGUGGACGCAUCACUGGUGUUCGGGUUGUCAUGCCAAUGGCACUGCCCGGUAGCUAAAUGCGGAAGAGAUAAGUGCUGAAAGCAUCUAAGCACGAAACUUGCCCCGAGAUGAGUUCUCCCUGACUCUUUAAGGGUCCUGAAGGAACGUUGAAGACGACGACGUUAAUAGGCCGGGUGUGUAAGCGCAGCGAUGCGUUGAGCUAACCGGUACUAAUGAACCGUGAGGCUUAACCUUACAACGCCGAAG